CCUACGGGUGGCAGCAGUGGGGAAUAUUGGUCAAUGGUCGCAAGCCUGACCCAGCAACGCCGCGUGAAGGAAGAAUGCUUUCGGGUUGUAAACUUCUUUUAAUGGGGAGGAGUAGAACACGGUACCUCUUGAAUAAGCCACGUCUAACUACGUGCCAGCAGCAGCUGUAAUACGUAGGUGGCAAGCGUUGUCCGGAUUUACUGGGUGUAAAGGGCGUGCAGCCGUGAAGACAAGUCAGAUGUGAAAUCCCGCGGCUCAACCGCCGCACUGAAGUUGAAACUGUGUUUCUUGAGUACGCGAGAGGUAAGCGGAAUGCGUGGUGUAGCGGUGAAAUGCGGAGAUAUAAGGAAGAACACCGGGGGCGAAGGCGGAAGACGGGAGGGCAACGGACGGGGAGGCGCGAAGGCGUGGGGAGCGAACAGGAUUAGAUACCCGGGUAGUC
rnacentral:rRNA from 1 species